rnacentral:misc_RNA from 1 species
CGAAAUCUCCGAAACUAUAACACCUACAAACUUGAAAUUUGGCAGGUAGGUUCCUUAUAGGGCGUAAACAUCCGGUAAGAACGGAUUUUAGGAAAAUCGACCCCUAAGGGGAUAACAACGGGGGUCGGAAGUUUGUAUGAAAGUCCUAUGUUUUUGAAGUAAGAGAGUUGAAAUUUAAAAUGUAUGCUCUAUAGAUGGUGAGGAAGUGUCCAAAUAAUACAUCGUAAUCUAUACAUAUAAAAGAGAAAGGUCACUGACUCACUCAUCACGAGAACCCAAAAACCGCUGGAUGGCCCAUCCAUGAAAUUUGGCAGGGAGGUAGAUUAUAGUUAGUAGACGUCCGCUAAGAACGGAUUUUGCGAUAUUCCACCGCUAAGGGGGUUUAAUUGGGUUUGGUAGUUUGUAUGAAACAUAUACAGCAGCUCUAAGUUCGCCUGAUAGGUUAUUUAUACUGCAGGCUGGAAAUAAAACUAAACAUUUGGUGUAUAGAGAGAUUAUAUGAAAAUAACUAUUAAAUUAUACCAAAUUUUGCCUUUGAAAAAGUUACUCAGAGUGAUAAGCAUUUCAAGUGACUGAAAUAAAAAAAGAAUUUGCGUUAAGCAUCUUAAUAGUAAUGCAUAUCGUCCUAACCACGGGGACGUAGUCGCGGGCAACAGUUCGCUUCAGCCUGUAAUAUCCCACUGUUGGGCAUAGUCCUCUUUCCCCAUGUAGGAAAAGGAUCAGAGCUUAAUUUACAAUGCUGUUCCAAUGCGGAUUGGCGGAUAUAUUCCCUAGUAUGAGUAACGAUCGCUAUCAGGUGUACAUGAUAACAACCGGGACCGACGGCCUAACGUGCUCUCCGAGGCACGGUGGGGAGACCCACAAGAACUGCACAAACACCCAGACCAUGGCAAACACCUGUAUGGCCAAUACAAAUGUAUGUCAUGUACGGGGAUCGAACCCGCAACCGCCAGCGCAACCGGCACAAUCCAUGUGUUUUAGCUGUGACCGUUACGCCAACGCGGCGUCAAAAUUUAAUGUAUCAUAAAACAAAGUCCCCAAAAGCGUAUGUGAUCGAUUCCCU